UGCCCCAAAUUUAUUUAAAUAGCAUUAACUUUUUUUAUGUUUGCAAAGCUCUUCAAACAUCAAGCCAGGUAAAUACAAGAAAAUUCAUAAACCUCUGCUGAUAUAGCUUAACCUCCUCCUUACUUAGCACGAGUUUAUCCAAAAUUCUCUUUGUUGGUUGAAAAGAUAGUUGACUUUCUUAAAUCUACUUUGGAUAGGGACAGGUCUCACAUCCACCAAUGCAUUGUAUCUUCAAUAAUGCAAGGAACCAUUCCCCAACUCAAGUAGGGGCUUACUCCUAAUUUUUUCUUGCUAAACAUAUUUUAGAGGACAUACCA
rnacentral:lncRNA from 1 species